GGACCCGACUGCUAUCGGGGUAGGGCUAAGCCAUGGAAGUCGAACGCCCCGCCGCUGCGGGGCGUGGCGCACGGCUGAGUAACACGUGGCUAACCUACCCUCGGGAGGGGGAUAACCUCUCGGGAAACUGGGGCUAAUCCCCCAUAGGCGGGGAGGCCUGGAAAGGUUCCCCGCCAAAAGGGGGCGCAGGGGGCCAUCGCCUGCGCUCCGCCCGAGGAUGGGGCUGCGGCCUAUCAGGUAGUUGGCGGGGUAACGGCCCGCCAAGCCGAAGACGGGUAGGGGCCGUGAGAGCGGGAGCCCCCAGAUGGGCACUGAGACAAGGGCCCAGGCCCUACGGGGCGCACCAGGCGCGAAAACUCCGCAAUGCGGGAAACCGUGACGGGGCUACCCCGAGUGCCCCCCUUGUGGGGGCUUUUCCCCGCUGUAAGAAGGCGGGGGAAUAAGCGGGGGGCAAGUCUGGUGUCAGCCGCCGCGGUAAUACCAGCCCCGCGAGACCGGGGCCCUAAACAAGCCCCGGCGCGACUGGUCGGGGUGAUUAUUGGGCCUAAAGCGGCCGUAGCCGGCCCGGUAAGUCCCCCCUGAAAGUCUCGGGCUCAACCCGAGAAGCGGGGGGAUACUGCCGGGCUAGGGGGCGGGAGAGGCCGAGGGUACUCCCGGGGUAGGGGCGAAAUCCUAUAAUCCCGGGAGGACCACCAGUGGCGAAGGCGCUCGGCUGGAACGCGCCCGACGGUGAGGGCCGAAAGCCGGGGGAGCGAACCGGAUUAGAUACCCGGGUAGGC
rnacentral:rRNA from 1 species